CCCAUGGCGGUGGUGUGCCGUGUGCCAGAAUGAAAUUUUGUCCAAAAAAGGAACAUGGUGCCACUGCUGGACGCCCAUAUAUAUGGGCCGUUAUGAUCGAACAUGGGCCCGGCUAAGUAGCCCAUUAAAGCCCAGUGGUAAAAUGUAUACUGUGCGCAGAGCAGUCACAGACUCCCGGCGAUUCCUAUCCCCAAUCACGGACGCCGGCCGGCCAGUCGGAAUUAGUCCUCCACCUUCCUCCUUCCUUCCCUUCAAGCAGCCGGCGAGCGUCGCCGGGGACCUGUGAGGAGGUCGGGGAAGAAAAGUUGCUCCUUGCUUCCCGCGACGGCCGGAGAGGUCGCCGUGGCGGAGGCGGGAGAUGGCUCCGGCGGCCGUUCGAAUAGGGUUUGCACAGCCCAGCGGUUAGGCCAUCCCUGUCCUGUGCAAUGUCAAGGAUUUCUGCGGUGCUGCGGCGCCUGUUCCGCAGUGAUUCCGCAUCCGGCACUACCCUCUUCCGGCAUGGACGAUGCGAAUGGAACACGAUGAUGCUGAUCACGUACGGGGUGAGGGGGAUGAGGAGGAGCGCGUGAGAGCUGGCAGGCGUUGCGGUGUGACUGUAGCGCGCCGGAGCUGGAGAAGACGGCGAGGCAGAGGUUGCAGCCACGGGAGGCGAAGGUGGCGGCGCAGGCAGGCUUGGGGAGCGAGCCAGUGAGGUGGUCCCGGAGUGCGUCGAGGGAGCGGCAGCGCUUGCCGCAGACACCGCAGCGGGGCUCGUGCGGUGAGUGGUAUGAGGCCCGCAUGUGGUCCACCAGGUGCUCCAUCUUGUUGAACUCGCGGUAGCACGCCGCACACCUGUUCCGCCUGCAUAUGUAUCAUCAUCAGCAGAACUCAGAAGAAGAAAGAUAAACAUAUAUAUAUUCUGUUGUUGUCUCUGUUUUUUUUUUGUUUCAGAAUCGAUCUGCUCUUGGCAUCAUUCUGUGUGGUGCAAUGCAAUGUGGCACGCAUUCGUCGUAGCAGAGUUCGUUCGACGAAGUAAAAGAAGAAAGCCAAAGAAGAUGGAGUAGUGACAAACCGCACCUGUGAGCAUCUGAAGAGCUAUCCAUGGCCACCUCACCUUGACUAAGCAGGACUACUGCAAGGACAGCAGCAGGCAGGAGUUGUUGUGGUUUGGUUUGGUUUGCAAGGCAAUCUCUGCAAAUGAACGCCUAUUUAUCUGCCUGCAAGACGGACGGAAUGCGAUUCUUGACGCCAAGCCAUCUUCACCGAUGGCCACAACCAACGAUGCUGCUUUUCCUUUGCAGCAUAUGUUUUGGUGAACAUUACAAGGAUAUUCACUCACUGGGGGGCAUCUACAUACUGUGUGUGUGCAACUGAGCGAGCAGCAUAUUCAUGGUUCAGCAGGAGAUGGAUGCACCAGGAAGGAGCCAGCCGUCGCGGGCAAACUUCUCAAGGCAUAUUAUCUGUCAGAGCCACGCUGCAUCGGUUCUCCUCUUCUUCUUUUUUUGAGUAAUUCGGUUCUCCUCUUUUGUCUUUAGUCACUGUCCUUAAAUAAAGUUCUUUUCAGUAUAGAACAAGCCUGUCUAUAAAGCAGUGACCUGUAAUAUGCACUUAUAUUCACCUUGGAAAGGUAAAAUCUCUGGUAAAAUGAAAGUACGCAACACUUAAUGUUUGACUGUGUAAUUGCUAAGCUCCUGUGGCAAGAAUUAGAACAAUUUUCUUUCUGGUGUCAAAAUUUGCAACUUUAGCUCUGUAGCACAGUUCUGGAUCCAGCAUCAAGAAAAUAGCUAUUUCCAAUGUUUCUAUCCCAUGGUGACUGUGAAUAGUAUGAUUUUCAAUAAUAGUAUUUGGUUGAUUAUGAAACAGAUUUUGGGGCAAAUUCUUCGCAAUCUGAAAGACUGGAAAACGUUGCUGCCUGGGAAGGGAAUGCCCAGGAGGAGUUGGACAGGCACAUCUGCUGAGCACUCUGCACAGGCCUCUGCUUUUAACACCAAGGAUGGAGAUGCAGUAGUUUGUUUCGUUCUGUUUUUAUCUGUUCCAAUGAAUGUACUGGAAGAGCUGAUUGGAGGUAUCAUUUUAAUAAAAUGGAGCCCCUGGGUUUUCUUUAGAAGAAAUGUCUGCUAAUAUUGCUGCAGAGUACUACAUGUGCAUUAUAAUUGUCAGUCACCAGCACACAAGUUGACAGUUCAUCUGUCAGUAAAAGGUCUUGCUGAAAUGCAGAAUGCACUGAGAAAGGAAGAACAAGAUACCCCGGUCAAAAGGUCCCGGUUUGAAAAAGGGACAAUGAACAGAACAAAAGAGGAUGGAAUUAUGGAAAGAUUGAAGGGCAGGCAGAGGCUGAUGAUUGGCUCCUGCAAUGCAAUGCGUGAUCCAUCCUUUGGCGGUGGCGCAGAGCCGCACAGGGGAGGGCAGAAGGAUAUGCCAUGAACAUACCGUCUUUGCACUUUGGUCUUUGGGAGAUGUUGCCAUCGUGUUGCAAGCUAGUUAAAGGACUGCUGUAGCCGAUCCUGGGCAUA